rnacentral:tRNA from 1 species
GGGUGCAUGGCCGAGAGGUCUAAGGCAACCGCCUGCUAAGCGGUCGUCGGCGUCGAGCCGGCGCGCUGGUUCAAAUCCAGCUGCACCCGCCA